rnacentral:rRNA from 1 species
AUUGAACGCUGGCGGCAGGCCUAACACAUGCAAGUCGAGCGAGCGGCGGACGGGUGAGUAAUGUAUGGGGACUGCCCGAUAGAGGGGGAUAACUACUGGAAACGGUGGCUAAUACCGCAUACUAUCGGAUAACCCAUAUGGGAUUAGCUAGUAGGUGGGGUAAAGGCUCACCUAGGCGACGAUCUCUAGCUGGUCUGAGAGGAUGAUCAGCAACACUGGGACGGUGCAACGGCCAAGACUCUUACGGAGGCAGAAGUGGGGAAUAUUGCACAAUGGGGGCAAGCCGGAUGAAGCCAGGCCGCGUGUAUGAAGAAGGCCUUAGGGUUGUAAAGUACUUUCAGCGGGGAGGCGUUACCCGAAGAAGAAGAACCGGCUAACUCCGUGCCAGCCGCCGCGGUAAUAC